ACACGGCCUCUCCCACCCUGCCUUCCGCCGCCAGCCCGCAUCUCGCAACCGUCCCGCACGAGCAAAGAGCCCUCGUUCCCCUCCCCUUCCGCUCGAGUUCGUCGCCGUCGCCCUGCCCUCGUAUCUCCUCCCACGACACCGGUGACAACCACAGGCCACCGUCCUGAUCCUCAUCCGGGUGAUCCCCAGGCAGGCAGGUCGGCGAGGAGGGCAGCAAGACCGAGCCGUGCGGGGGCUCGGGACGGGAACGGGACAGGACCCCAAAAUCUCAGAUCCUUCCUGCUCGCCCGCCCGUGCCCGUCGGCGCGUCGUUCUUGCCGUCCGCGCCCCACCUCCGCCCUCUCCUCCUCCAGGGGAAUCAGAUAUGCCACAGGCUGCGCGAUGGUGUUGUGGGUCUUCGGCUACGGCUCCCUCAUCUGGAACCUCGGCUUCGACUUCGACGACAAAAUCCUCGGCUUCAUCAAGGGCUACAACCGCACCUUUAAUCUCGCUUGUAUUGACCACAGAGGCACAACAGAGCAUCCGGCGAGGACCUGCACGCUUGAAACCGACGGCGAGGCGACGACGAGGCCAUAUGCGUGGUGACACAGUAUUACAUGUGCAAUUUAGAUAUGGAUUUGGACGACUAAAAUCAUUUACUGAAAUGUACCUAAAUAAUGUUCUGUUUGUGUAGCAUCUUUGCAUGCCCCCCUUUUUACACGGUGACACAGUGUUACAUGGGCAAGGUACUUUGCGUGGCCUGUCGUCAUGAAUUUCUUUCUGACAACAGAUUGGUUCAACUUGUUUUCUUGCCAUUAGCCAUAAUUACAGAAAAUUGUUUUUAAUGAAUUGUUAUUCAGUUUUGCGUCACAAUUUCCAUGUUCUCGCAUGAAUAUGUAGCUCUGCAUUGGCCUUGAAAUCUUAUCGAGGUCUUCACUUUGGACUAAGGAAUUAGAAAAGAGUGGAAGAAUAGGGUAGGGAGUAAUUUCUUUUUCUACUUGUAUAGUGAGCUGUGUAAAAUCUCAUUACUUUAACCACUCCAAUAGCUGUUAGCUUUGCACACCAGUUUGGCAUGUUGGACCCAUGGAUCAGCUUUGUGUGACGACACAACAUGCAGCAUUAUAUAGAAGACAUUGGCAGAGUUCCUGCAUGUCGUGCCAGUGUUCCUGGUCGGUAAAUGCAGUUGCACAUGAAAUGGGAAUCAGGGUGAUAAUUCAGUGUUACAGGUAGGGGAAGGGAGCAAGAAGCAGCCCCGCUUGGUCAGCGUUGAUGAUAGAUCAUCCGUCACAGACUUGGACUUCGACUUGGAUGAAGAGGGGGCCAUCACGUUAUACAAUUUUUAUUUUUUCAUUACUUGUUGUGUUUGUUUACAGAUAGUCCCAACUCACUUGAAUUCUUGAUAGCCUGUUGUGGUUCUAGCAAAUUUGCUCAUCGUUACCAUCUUUGGCUGUCAAAUAUAUUUCUGUGCUACAAUUUUAGCUUAGGACCCUUAUGUGUAUCAUUUCUACAUAGAAAUAUUGUCCAAGAAAUGACUUGAAUAGGUUGUCCAUUUACUACUCUCACAUGGCAUCAUCUGAAGAUAACUCUUUGGGUUACUAUUUAUGUAGUAUGCACGUGUAAAAAUAAAUGCCAAGCCACUUAGUUGAGUUUUAAAGUAUGAUUCGUGCACCAAGAUACUUGUAGAAGAUACUAUUGCAGCUUAUGAUCUGUUCGGGAUCUCUACAGUGCAAUUGUUUAAGAGAAUUAGACAAUUAUAGUAUUGUUUCUUCCCAAUUAUUAUUUGGAAAAAUAGGCGGCAUGCACUAGAAUCAAGCCUAACCGCUUGGCUUGUUAUUACAUUGUGCUUCUACAUUACAUUGCUUCACUGUUUGAAUUUCAUCUCUAUUUUUGUUAGUAGUAAUAGUUAACAUGUUUGUGUUAUGCAUUAGUAAACUUUUUUUUGCUUGUAAGUUUCAAAGUAUACACACUAUUUUUAAUGUGCAAAGUGGCAUGCUACUUAUUUCAGUUUAUUGUUGCAAAAUUAGCCAUUUCGGUUUGUUGUAGGUCAGCAUGGUACAAGCCUACAAGGAGAAAGUUUAUCCAAAAAACAAGGUAUGUUUGGUUCAUGCUAAUCCUCACCUCCUUCCCUUGCUGCCGUCUCAGGUAAAUAAGAUGGAACUUUAAAAGAAAGUUCAGUUGCUAUUUAUGCAUCAAUUGCUUAACCUGUUUGUUUUGGUGACGAGCUACUAUCAGUCGCGCCAUAACUUAUUGCAUGUUUUCUCAUGUAUCGCUUUAGGACCGGUAUUGCUUUAGGAUGUGAUAUGGCAUUUGACAACGUUUUUUAAUUUAAUUACUGAAAUUCGAACGACUGGAAUGCAUUUUGUUACGUUUAUUACACAACAUUUUUUAUUUGUUUGUUGCUGAAAGUAACAUCAAUUAGGAAAUGAAAUUUGUACUUGGUAUUCGCCUCUGUACAGUUGAACUGCUGCAGCAUGAGCCAGAAGUUGGUUAUGAACUACCAUAUAAGGUUCCCUUCCAGAGUCUCCCAUGCUAUAUCGUGAAUUUUCCCAAGCAAAGCACCUGCCAGGCGCCAAUAUGCCACCGGGGUAGCCAUUAAAAUACUUAAAAUCAACUCCAAGGCUCAUCGAACGUUAUCCAGUGCUUCACCGUGUUUCUGAACUCCCUAAAGCAGAUGUUGUCAUGUUGGUCAGUUUGGUGUUGGUUUAAUUUCUACGGGUGUCGUAUAUCAGAGGUAAACAAUAUUAGAUGUUUAUUUAUUUGUUUGGAGGUAUCAGUUUUCUAUGAAUGUACAACUGUUUGCUUUGUGCUUUAUUUAGACUUCUAAUUUAUAUCGAUAUUUAUGACAUGUGUUUACCUGUUUUGUAAGUCAAUCAAAAAGUUUGACUAGCAACUAAUGGUGCCUAUACAUGUAUUUAUGGAGCUUCUUCUGGUCAUAUGUGUAGUGGAUCUCUCCUCCUGUUGUUCCCUUCAAUCAUGUCCAAGGUCAAGAACCAUUCAGGUCAUAAACCCCUACGACAGGGGCCACGAGGGCUCAUCUUCGCCACUGCCCCUACUCCCACCUUCUGCAUGUCCUGCUCGGUGCUGUUCCAUUCCCUAGCGAUGUUCUCCGGCUAAAGACGCUUGGAGUUUGUGGUGUGGUGACACUUAAUGAAUCAUACGAGAGGCUUGUUCCCACAUCCCUAUACGAGGAUAAAAGAAGUAGGCGCAAUGAGGAGUCGUGUUCAUUCACAAGCUCUAACAGAGAAAGUUGGGGCAGAUGUUCAUCUUUAGGUGCAGCCAGUGAUGAAUUAUUCUCAGGCAAUAAUAAUGAUAAGCAGAUAUGAGCCCUUGGGCCUCCAGUUCGGGCAACAAGCAUAUGGCAAAGAGAGUGAGGGGGCAUGAUAUUGUUUUCCAAUUCCAAGAUCUAAGGAGCAAAGACUAUUAAUUAUCAUAAACAAGAUUUCUAAUUGGUGAAAGCUUUUUAUAUAUAGCAGACUGUGAUGAUGUGUAGAGGCAAAGGAUCCUUCAGAGUUCAUCACUCAUCGAGCCAAAGAUUUUGUGUCAAGCAUGAAGGACAUUGAAACCCGGUUUAUGUGUAUAGUUGAAGCAGGAAAUAAGGUUUCUAGAAUGCUUGAAACCAAGAAGAUCUUGCUUGACAUAUGUGCUAAAAUACCAGGAUUCUAGGUUCUCCAGUUAAGCUACCUACUGCCCGAUUGUGUCAGCACUUCAAGUGUGCUGCAAUUGUGAUGUUAUUCUCAACCAUGAAACUGUGACCCUCCAUAGUUAAGGGAUUGCACUUUCUUAAAUAUUUGUAAGCACUUACUGUUUUGAUUAUGCACUUAGACUCUCUGUUUUGAAUGCGAUAUUUCUUCCUUGAACAAAAAAGGUGCACUUUUGUUGUAAAUUUCAGUUCUU